UAUGUUAAUUGUAUUCUUAUAAUUUGAAGAUUUUGUUGAACUAGAUCCCCAGUUCCAUAUUGUGCUUUCUCAGAGUAACAAACUGUUAUAUAAAAUUGCUUUAUAGUUAGCUUCAUGCGUGUCUGUUCAUAUUUCUUUCCCCAAUGCAGUGAGAAUAAAAAAAUGUUCAUAUGUUGCCGUCAUCUGUUGUAUUCUUCAUAUUAAAUGUUUUCCUUUUUCAUUAACGAUGCGUUUGUGCCAGGUUGUUGGGCAUAUCUGUUAUCGUAUUCUAGCAGCUGGUCUGAAUGGUUACUUGGCAACUGUUACUACUUUGAAUACAUCCAGUGAACAAGUGGCAUUGUGGUGCAACUCCAAUUACAGUAGGUUUUAUAUUUCACUUGAUGAUUUUACAGUAGGAUUUAUCUUCAGUGGCCAUUGGCAGCAAAUCUGAUUGUUCUUGUUCAUGGCAACGAAUCUAAUUGCAUUUCUUCAACAAUACCAUCAAGUGAUUCAGAAAUUGACUUAUUUUUCUUUUUCUUCUUAUCCUUCUGUUUCUUAGUGGAUUCAUCUGUCUGCAGUUCACAGACUGUAUCAGCAGUGGGUUUCUUCAAUGACUGCACAUUAACUUCUUCAGUUUGAUGAAGAGAAUAAGAAACUUUUUUUUAUUUUCUUCUUCUCUUUAAACUCUACAUUUGAAUCAGUUUAUUUGCUAGUAUCUCCCUGGAUUUCUUAGUAGAUUCAGAAAAUUUAUCAUCAGUUCCGAUUGAUUUACUGCAGCAUUUCUAUCACUCUCAUCACUUUUCUUUUUUUUUUUCCUUCCAACAGUUUGCUCAAAGGCAGAACAAUGACUGUCUCCAUCUUUUUUGGUAAUGCAGUCAGUCAGCAAUUCUGUAAUUUCACAGAAGUAGUAUUAGAUCAAAUCUAAAUAUUAAUCAAAUGAACUAAAAACUGCAUGCAUUUUAAAAGAACGGGUGGUGGGAGUGAGAUAGACACACAGUUGUUGAACUCGAUCUUGUUGAACUCAAAACCGUCUCUCAAUCAAUAGCCUUCAAUUUAUUUUUCCUGCCUUCAAUAGCCUUCAAUUUAUUUUUCCUAAUAUUCUUUUGUGAUUCAAUGCUUUGCUUUUACAGCCUUGCUUGUUGAAAAUGGGAAAUUUCAUCUUGUAAACUGCUGCUGCACUGCUUUGCUCUGUGUACCAUCUUGUUCUAGGAAUUGUUAUAUGGAUGUUGUGCUGGGAACAAUUUGCUCUGGUCUUAUGUAGCAGUUUUUUCAAAGUACUGCUGACCAACUGUCAAAGCCUCCUUGUGAAAGAGCUAAAAUAAUUAUUUCGAUCUGGGAGAAGGAAGGAAUCAAGCAAUUUCGAGUUUACAAGCAAGUGGAAAGUUCAAGAUUGACAAAACAUGGGUACAUUUUCCAAGAGUAUCGAAUGAGUAUGUGGAUGGAGCGAGAAAAUUUGUCAACAUGGCUAAGACAAAUUCAGGGAAUACCGAUAUGAUCAUAUGCCCUUGUGGAAGUUGUCGAAACCUUUCACAACAACAUUGUGAUAUUUGUGGUAGAAUUCUUUUCUAAGGAUUUAGUAAUUGAAGUUGCCAACCAACAGUGUGUGCAGAGGACUUUGAUGAAUAUAUUUCUAUAAUUUUUGAAUAGUUUGGAUUUGUUAAGUUGAUCCCAGUCCUCCUGAGGAAGAUGGCUUAGAAGAAUGCCCUUGUUCGGAAAUUGCCUAGUGUUGAAAUUCUUGGUUGCACAACCGUGAUUUGUUCUCAGCUUCACUCUUUAUCUCAAUUGAUGAAAUAGUACAAGACCUGAAUGCCUUGGAGUGGAGACUUUAUGCUAGUUUCCUUUCUUGUGAGCCUCUCUCUCUCUAUCUCUCUCUCUC